rnacentral:tRNA from 1 species
UGGGGUAUAGCUCAGUUGGAAGAGUGCAUGCUUCACAUGCACAAGGCCCUGGGUUCAAUCCCCAGCACCAUAU